rnacentral:lncRNA from 1 species
GUAUGUGUGGGUGUGGGUGGGUGGGUGGUGGUGGGGGUGACUUAGCCCGGGGCGCCGGCGCCGGUUCGGGAGUAAAGAUGGAGCGGGAGUCACGGAGGCGCAUCCAUGAACUCCGCUUCUUUGGAUUUCGGGGCCCAGCUGUUCUCUCUCCCCGGAGCCUGGGCUGCCGGAAUCUUACUGAGCUGCAGGAGCGCUCUGUCUCUGUCUCUCCUUUUCCUCUCUCCCUGCCCUCCCAUCUCUUCUUCUCUCUGUCUUUCUCCUCUCUUUCCUUUUCUCUCCCCUUCCCUCUUCCUCUCUCCAUCUCUGUGUGUGUGUGUCCCCCCCGCCCCCGGCAUUAACCGAUAUCCCCAACCUCACCUGCUGUUUUGGAGACCAGCCUCUCCGAGCCCGGGCAGCUGGGAGUGUCCCCCCGCCAGGCCCUUCGGAGGAGCCCGGGUUGCCCGCUCUCGCUCCCCUCCCGCAGUGCAUUGUUAUGCAGCCCCCUUUGUUCCGAGUUCCAGCCCGUUUCUCUCCACCUCGGAACCGCUUUGGGGCUUGGCCUGCCUCUCGCCAGCUUAUCCUCUGCGCGGCUCUGAGUGUGGCGCCGGCCGUCAGUAUUCCCCGGAUGCCUAAAGAGUUAGUACGGGUAGAAAUUGCCCAGCACGUUAGGGGUGUGGACGCGGUGUGUAGGAAGUCUCCCUGCUUUCCACAGCCCCCGAGUUGGGAGAAAUGACAAUUUGCUUUUCUCCAAAGAAUUCUUAUGGAAAAAGGAGGAAGUAUUACAUGAAGAUAACUGAGAAUUAUAUUCAGAUAUAUACAUAAAAUUUGUUUUUGACUGGACAAUCUAAAAAAUGCAAAAAUGCACAUACUUUUAGAGGCUCGUAGACCUGGUGCCCACGAAGGUGCCGACCUUGGAUCAGAGCUCUGCCGGUGCCGCCCUGGAAUCCUAUCCAGAACAAGAUGGCUUUUUGAGAAGCAAUAAACAAAUUUUCUCUCAAUUUUCUAUAAUUUCCACAAACACUUUCAGCUUUGUAUGUUUGAAAUUCUGUGUGCUGUGGCAUGGUAAAUUACUCUCUAACUUGCUAUUUUCUUAGAAAGUUAACACAAACACUAGUAACUGGGAGGGGGUAGAGCUCCGGUGUUUCCCUCCGCUGUCCGUGGCAGUAAAGCGGCCUCUACUGGACAUUAAUGGUGAUUUCCAAGAACAAGGAGCUCUGGAAAUCAAGAAAUGGUGCAUGUGAGAGUAUGGGUUCACCCCAGCAUCACAAAAAAAAUGAAACCAAAAUCGAAACCCCAAAGCAAAAGACAGUAGAAGAUCAGCAGAACAGCACAGUUACCAGGACCAUGAAGAUCGGUUUCAGUAGUAAAGGUUUGUUACCAAAGUUUUAGGGCAAGAGUCAGAGACCACUACAGGGAGAAAGGACAAAAACUCCUGGGCCCCUAACCGGUCACUCAUUAAAAGUGCAAUUUAUGCUUUCUUCUGAGGCCCAGGGAGUUAAAAGCAGUUUUUGCUAAAACCCUUGAGUCUACCCAACAGGUAACUAAGAGUAGAACCAAACUUGGCCUUUCUUUUUGUAUCCUUUAUUACCUUAAAACAUUGGCUAUGCUUACGUUCCUCAUUUAGGAAAAGUUGGCAGAGCCAAGUUUAUUAGCCCCGAAUUUACCUGCCCCGUCUCAGCCCCCUUCAGACUGGAGGACACCAUGGGAGGGGUAACUAAAGUAAUGUUCAGUGUUCAGGGGGAUUCCGACGACCAGAUUUUAUAGUGUCCCGAUUCCACGCCCUUCCUCUCCUUGCAGCAACACCUAAGAAUCUCCAGCGGUUGUCCUCAUCCAAUAGUCAUCCGGGUCCCAGGAAGAGCAAGCUUCAUGUGACCGGGACCACACACAGGCGGUCUCCAUGGGAAUCCAGCUGCGCUCAACAGUCUCACUGGCUUGGGCCACUGGUGGCAAUGCAUGACUGUCCCACAGGCCGCUGGUACCACCUGUCGGGACCGUUCCAUGCCACCCGAGGGGACACUCAUGCACGUACCACUGGUGGCUCAGGGCCGCCUGGCCGCGAGGCAUACGUUGUGAUCUGUUCUUCUAGAGCUCGGAAGCAGGACUGAGAUAACGAUGACCAGGCUCCACCAUCUCAGCUGGUCCUGAAAAGCUGGCUUCCUGCUUUCGUGGCUGGGCCAGUCGGGGCCCCUGCCUUAGCGUGAGCCCCGGUCCAGCUAUUCGAACCAGAGAACCUUCCCCAUCUGCUAUUUCCUUGUUCAGGACCACCUUUAUCUUUGUCAGAGCUGUGCUCCCUUUUCUCUUACUUUGAAUGAAAGCUUUUUCCGGCAGAUUUGUUUAUAGUUUCAAUUUCAAUUCUCACGGAAGCCAGUGACGGAGCCCGGCCUGGCCACGCCUCCCGAGGUCCCCUAGUCAGACAGGGGAUGAGCCAGGGUUCCGGUGGGAAAGGAGCUUGAAUCAGGUCGGCC